AUGUGAUCUGUCCCUGUGACCCAAGUUUCCUCAAAGCAUGAUGGUUGGAUUCCCAGGAUGAGUGUUCGCAGAGAAAAAGCCAGAGCUAACCCACUGUAGAGAGAGUGCAUUCUCUACCACCCUUCACCAUGCAGAAAGAGAACCUGGGCCUGCAGAAAGCCCCAUGUUUGCUCAGUUAUGCCAGCAACGGCAUGGAAGAAUCUGUCACAUUCAGGACAAAGUGACAGCAAGCCAACUUAACUGCAGAUUGAAAGCUAUAUCCUUUAAAAGUCUUUAAAGAAUCAGAGAAUUUCUGUUUGAGACCUGAUCCUGCCAUUUGCUGUAUAAACUUUGGGCAUGAUAAACAGAGGAGGUUUUGCAGGAAUAUUCAGAGGACAAGAGAAGAUGUCUUUGGCAGGAAUAGGAAAAGAGAUGUGAAUCACGAGGUUCUCUACUGCGGGAGCAUAUUAGACUUGGAGAGUAUGUAUAUGAGCAAUAGAAACAAAGAGGGAUUUAAUGCCAUGAUGUCUGACCUUUGAUUCAUACCUGAAGCUG